AACGAACGCUGGCGGCAUGCCUAACACAUGCAAGUCGAACGCGUGUAGCAAUACACGAGUGGCGGACGGGGGAGUAACACGAGGGAACCUGCCCCGUGGUAGGCAAUAAAUGCGGGAAACUGCAGCUAAUCCCAUAUGAGCCCUCCGGGGGCAAGAUUUAUCGCCAUCGGAGGGGCCCGCGUCGGAUUAGCGAGUUGGUAGGGUAACGGCCUACCAAGGCGACGGUCCGUAGCUGGUCUGAGAGGAUGAUCAGCCACACUGGGACUGAGAUACGGCCCAGACUCCUACGGGAGGCAGCAGUGGGGAAUAUUGGACAAUGGGGGAAACCCUGAUCCAGCAAUGCCGCGUGAGUGAAGAAGGCCUUAGGGUUGUAAAGCUCUUUCGGCGUGGACGAUGGUGACGGUACCCGCAGAAGAAGCCCCGGCUAACUUCGUGCCAGCCGCCGCGGUAAAAC
rnacentral:rRNA from 1 species